AGGAUCAUUACACAUAUAUGGGACACUAAUGUGGUCCCUUGACUAAAACCCUCUCUGCGUACCAAUCUAUGUUGCUUUCCUAGGUGGUUGGUUUCAGCUGCCGUCCAACAUUGCCUGCUAGCUCAGUCAAUCCGAGUUGUUAACUUGGAGUUUGAUCUAUUUUACUGAUGGGUUAAGCUUUAAUGGGUCAGCGAGCUUAAUUUAUAUCUAUCAGGAUCAGCUAUGUAGGCCCCUGGGAAAGGGUCCAUUGCAAGUGAAUAUUUCAAUCAGCUGUCUGAGUCGGCCUAGUGCCUUAUUCUUUAAACAAGUUAAAACUUUCAACAACGGAUCUCUUGGCUCUCGCAUCGAUGAAGAACGCAGCGAAAUGCGAUAAGUAAUGUGAAUUGCAGAAUUCAGUGAAUCAUCGAAUCUUUGAACGCACAUUGCGCCCCUUGGUAUUCCUUGGGGCAUGCCUGUUCGAGCGUCACUACAAACCCGCUCAUAAAUGUUAUGGUAUUGAUGGAAGUGAACUGUUGCAACUAAAGUGUGUGGAUCACCCCAUCGAAAUACAUAGGCAGGACAACAAACCUCUGUAGCUGACUUAGUAACUGUUUUCAAGACACAAACCAGUCACUUGCUAGGUUCUAGCCUGGCCUCAUUAGACCUCCAUUCAAGAUAAAUACUGGGUUGACCUCGGAUCAGGUAGGGAUACCCGCUGAACUUAAGCAUAUCAAUAAGCGGAGGAAAAGAAACCAACAGGGAUUGCCCUAGUAACGGCGAGUGAAGCGGCAAAAGCUCAAAUUUGAAAUCUGGCGCCUNUGGNGUCCGAGUUGUAAUUUGGAGAGGCAUCUUCCGGAGGGGUCCAGCCUAUGUUCCUUGGAACNGGACAUCACAGAGGGUGAGAAUCCCGUUCAUGGCUGGAGAUACCCUUCAUUAGGUAGUGCUUUCUACGAGUCGAGUUGUUUGGGAAUGCAGCUCAAAAUGGGUGGUAAAUUUCAUCUAAAGCUAAAUAUAGGCGAGAGACCGAUAGCGCACAAGUAGAGUGAUCGAAAGAUGAAAAGCACUUUGAAAAUAGAGUCAAACAGUACGUGAAAUUGUUGAAAGGGAAGCGCUUGAGACCAGACUCAGCCUUGGGCAAACAGCCUUCCUUCUGGGUGGUGCACUUGCCCUUGGNUGGGCCAGCAUCAGUCANNACGGUGGAAUAAAGACCUGNGGAAUGUGACUCCGCUCNNNAGUGUUAUAGCCUCGGGUGUCAUCCUGCCUGCCCUGACUGUGGACCG
rnacentral:rRNA from 1 species